rnacentral:rRNA from 1 species
CUUAGGAUCGUAAAGCACUUUCGCCAGGGAUGAUAAUGACAGUACCUAGUAAAGAAGCCCCGGCUAACUCCGUGCCAGCAGCCGCGGUAAUACGGAGGGGGUUAGCGUUGUUCGGAAUUACUGGGCGUAAAGCGUACGUAGGCGGAUCAGAAAGUAGGGGGUGAAAUCCCAGGGCUCAACCCUGGAACUGCCUCCUAAACUCCUGGUCUUGAGUUCGAGAGAGGUGAGUGGAAUUCCAAGUGUAGAGGUGAAAUUCGUAGAUAUUUGGAGGAACACCAGUGGCGAAGGCGGCUCACUGGC